AGGUCACUAAGAUCCCAGUGCCUUUGUAAGCAGCUUCUCAGAACACUCAGGUCUGGGGACAAAGGAAAAUGAAUAAAUCCUAAUUAAGCCACAAGUGCAACAGGAUGAUGAGACUGAUCCUAGGUAGCUCCCAAAGGAUACGAAACUGUUUCAAAACAGCAGUUGCGCAGUCUUUGCACCAUUUCUUUAGGAACUUGUUAAACAAAAAUACUGCAACAGUCAAUAAGGCUGGAGUGGUGAAAGGUACUCUCACACCCUUGUGUUUGUUAUCUGUCACAGGAAACAGGGAUGCACAGGCAAUGCUGACAGGCAAAGCUGAAGACUCCUUGCAUGCUGUGGUAAAGCAAGAUCUUAAAGUGUUCUUUAAGAAGUAAUCUUAAAAACAA